AACUGAGAAAUAAUCGAUCAUCAACAGAAGAAAUUAUGACUGCAGCGCCCAUCUCUGCCCAUAUUUAUUACUAUUCAAGUGCUUAUUUGCAUAAAUACAUCUGUUUACAUAAACGACCUUAUUUUGUACUUUGAGAAUAUUUAAAGAGCACUUUCCUGAUACAAGUCGUUUUCUGUAUUCAGUUAGAGGACAGACACAAUGAUUUCAAUGACUUACUUUGUCUGGAUGGUCUUGUUGCAACUAUGUGUUCAAGAUGCUGAAGGUGACAUUGUGAUGACUCAGUCUCCUUCCUCUAAAUCUGUGUUACCAGGAGAAACUGUCACUAUUAACUGUAAGGCCAGUUCAGACAUUAGCAGCUGGAUAGCCUGGUACCAGCAGAAACAUGGACAGAGCCCUAAACUCCUUAUCUAUAGAGCUAGUAACAGAGUAUCUGGGGUCCCAGAUCGGUUCAGUGGCAGUGGAUCUGGGACUGACUUCACCCUUACAAUCAGCAAUGUUCAGACAGGGGACUCUGGAGAUUAUUACUGUCAGCAGCACUACGACUACCCUCUCACAGUGAUACAAGCCUUGUUAAAAACUUCCUCUGAUGACAGUAACCCAAAACAUCUGUGGUUACAGACUAUGCAGCUGGUACAUGCUGUUGUGGGCUAAAAUAAGAAAUGUUUCUUCUCCAUAUUUAAACAGGUUUGUUUUCUCUGUCUUAAAGGAAUGCACUGUGACUUUGUUCAGGCACUAAAAUACACUGCAGUUAUUUUCUGCACCACAGCUACAGUUAACCUGUCAUUCUGAAACUGAUCUUCUUCUUCUUCUUUCGGCUUUUCCCGGUUAGGGGGUCACCACAGCGG